GCAAAACUAGCGGAUGAGCUGUGGAUAGGGGUGAAAGGCUAAACAAACUUGGAAAUAGCUGGUUCUCUCCGAAAACUAUUUAGGUAGUGCCUCAAGUAUUACCGGCGGGGGUAGAGCACUGUUUUGGCUAGGGGGUCAUGGCGACUUACCAAACCAAGGCAAACUCCGAAUACCGCAGAGUACAGCUUGGGAGACAGAGCACCGGGUGCUAACGUCCGGACUCAAGAGGGAAACAACCCAGACCGCCAGCUAAGGUCCCUAAAAUUGGCUAAGUGGGAAACGAAGUGCAAGGCAUAGACAGUCAGGAGGUUGGCUUAGAAGCAGCCACCCUUUAAAGAAAGCGUAAUAGCUCACUGAUCGAGUCGUCCUGCGCGGAAGAUGUAACGGGGCUAAGCCAGUUACCGAAGCUGCGGAUUCACAGUUUACUGUGAGUGGUAGGAGAGCGUUCUGUAAGCCUGCGAAGGUGUCUGGUGACGGAUGCUGGAGGUAUCAGAAGUGCGAAUGCUGACAUGAGUAGCGUUAAAGCGGGUGAAAAGCCCGCUCGCCGUAAGCGCAAGGUUUCCUACGCAACGUUCAUCGGCGUAGGGUGAGUCGGCCCCUAAGGCGAGGCAGAGAUGCGUAGCUGAUGGGAAACAGGUCAAUAUUCCUGUACCGCUCUUAGAUGCGAUGGGGGGACGGAGAAGGUUAGCUCGGCCAUCUGUUGGAAUAGGUGGUUUAAGCGUGUAGUCGUGCCUGGUAGGCAAAUCCGCCGGGCUGAGAUGAGGCGUGAUGACGAGGCUCUUCGGAGCCGAAGCGAGUGAUACCCAGCUUCCAGGAAAAGCCUCUAAGCUUCAGUCUAAGAGUGACCGUACCGCAAACCGACACAGGUGGGCUGGUAGAGAAUACCAAGGCGCUUGAGAGAACUCAGGAGAAGGAACUCGGCAAAUUGAUACCGUAACUUCGGGAGAAGGUAUGCCUUUGUAGCUUGUAGAUGAACAAUCGAAGGGCGAAGAGGCCGCAGAGAAUCGGUGGCUGCGACUGUUUAUUAAAAACACAGCACUCUGCAAACACGAAAGUGGACGUAUAGGGUGUGACACCUGCCCGGUGCCGGAAGGUUAAUUGAUGGGGUUAGCGCAAGCGAAGCUCUUGAUCGAAGCCCCGGUAAACGGCGGCCGUAACAAUAACGGUCCUAAGGUAGCGAAAUUCCUUGUCGGGUAAGUUCCGACCUGCACGAAUGGCGUAACGAC
rnacentral:rRNA from 1 species